UUUAUACUCACCAUCUGAUGAGUAGCCUGUGAAUCCUUCAAAAAUCAUAAGGACAUCGUUGACAGACAUCCAAUUCUUUCAUAAUUUCGUAAGCUUUUUCCUUGGAACUCGCCGUUGCCUGGCUAACUCUUGAUAUAAAAAUUAGCAAUGUUUACCUCGGGUGUAUUUUGGGAUACUUAACCCCAUAUAUGUCAAAUGCGGUCGUAAACGGCCGGAUUGGUCGUAAGCUGUGUUACGUUAAUCAUGGACUGAUGAUUAUUAAGAAAGGUGGUGAUUUCUCAGUUUGGAAAAUUUCCCCAUGGACAGAAUCAAACCAAAUAUGUGAUAUAGCAACGGACCUUAAAAAGUAAAUUAAUAAAUAAAAUAUCAAGAUCAAAACAUUAUCCAAUCAUUAUUUUAUUAUUUGGAUCAGCAGAUAUUCUCUGGCAGCUUCUAAUCACAUUAAGUGACCUAUAUUAUCCAAUUUUUAAAAUAUGGAAUUUAUUUGUGCCUAUGGUAUUUAUUCGUCAUCCAGAUGAUUUAAAGGUAAUAACAUAUAAAGUAAUUACAUUUUUUAAUAUCAUAUAUUAAGACUUUUAAUUAUAAAGACAAUGUAAAAUAAAGGGAGCAUGUAGUCCUAGACAGAUAUACUUGUUAACAAUUUUGUUUAUUAAUAAUUGUUACGUCCAGCAACGUAACGAUUCUUUUCUUUUGACGACGGAUACACUAUGUGACGGAAGCCGAGCAACGAUGACCCACUUAAUCUCACUUCGAUUUCCAGGAAUACAGUAAGACAUAAAUACGCCACUGAGGCAAGUGAGAAAUGUCACCAAAAUCAAAACAUCAUAAAUUAUAAAAGAAAUGUCGCAAAUCAAAGCACCAUAAAUUAUAAAGAAGUGUCAAAUAAUAACGUCAUAUUAGCCGGACGAAUAAACUCGCUGACACAAAAAAUAAUUUAUGGGAGCCCUUCGAGGUAACACGUUGCUCGACCCCGGAAACGUAUAAAACUCCAUCGGUAAAUAUUAAAAUCAGGAAGCCGAAAGGCAUAAGUAUACAUCACUUUCGGCUUCCAGAAACUUAGCGCCCAUAGAACACUAAAUCAAAAUCUGUCACAAUUCUUAGUGAUUAGAUGACGGGUCGCGCACGUUCUCAUAACAAUAAUUACCGAGAAAGAAGUGACGAGACCCGUUGAAUGAACGGCGUAACUCGAUGCCGGACACGUGUCCCGUAGGCAAAGGGUUAGGCCGCGCGUAGGCGUUUAGACAACAAAAUUGGUGCACACGGCCCUCUUAGAACAAAGGAAGCAAUAGUAUAAAAUAGAGAAUUUUCCAGCGGAGCGAUCACUACCGUCACUACCAUCCCGAUCCUACUCGUCGCAUAGUCCGUGGCAUCCUGAAUGCUCGAGUCUGUGCGAUCGAACCUCUUUAAUUAAAACUUAGUCGUUUGUGGCAAUAAGUUCUCCUAGUGCAAAGUGCCGAACUCAAAAACUUGGUGAAAUUUCAUAACUAAUUCUCUCGCGAGUGAGAACAUCAUAUUACACCUGGAACCGUGCUCGCCGUCCACCACCGUAGAAUGUCGCGGAUCCACGCAGUCACUGUGACCAGAUCUCUUACGGGUCCGGACCACUACACGAGUUCCACUACAAAGGUGGUUCAAGGAUUUUCCGAACAGUGAAUCUCUGAACAUUCACUCCACCCCUUUUUUAUUAUUAUUAUUAUUAUUUUUUUUUUAUUAUUUAACAUUUAAUCAUCCUCAAGUGAGAAAUUCGCGCUCCCGUCCAGAGCCACUUGCCGGGGUUCGAUACUUCUUUGACGCCACUUACGAGGACUUCUCUCGGACUACUCAGGAACCCGAACAAUCCCCGCGACAUUUUCAACCCUUUUCACCCACUCUCUCAAUAUCUUUGACACUUACUUACUCCCCAAUCUCGAGUAGUCCUGCUUCUCCAGCAAAUUCCACCGCUAGCGUGGAAUUCCUAUACGAAGAGAUUUGUAUAUGCUCUCCUCCCCACCCCCCAAAUCCCAGUAUAGAAAUACUGGAAGAAAUCCCUUACGAACCACCCCCUCCUCGAUUUUAUUUCACUCCCGGUCCUCACCAGACGUUGGAGUCACUCGUCUCGUCAUAUCCCGUCGCUCCAUCCCCUCACCACGGAGGCACGUAUGCCAUCGGCCCUCGUGAGUUUGUCUUUGAAGAGCUUCGCUCUGUUCUUCCAAACCUCCCAAGCGAAGCCACUAUAUCAGUCUCUCUCCCCUCUAUCUAUCCCAUUUUUUUCCCCCAAACUCCGCCGACAUCAACGAAAUUUUAGAGUAAUAAAUUUAUCUCAACAUAUUGCUUCCAAUCCCCUGCUCACACACACACACACACACACACACACACACACACACACACACACACACACACACACA